GGCGGUUUGAUCAUGGCUCAGAUUGAACGCUGGCGGAAUGCUUUACACAUGCAAGUCGAGCGGCAGCGCGGGGCAACCUGGCGGCGAGCGGCGAACGGGUGAGUAAUGCAUCGGAACAUGUCCAUGUCGUGGGGGAUAGCCCGGCGAAAGCCGGAUUAAUACCGCAUACGCCCGAGAGGGGAAAGCCGGGGACCGCAAGGCCUGGCGCGAUUGGGUUGGCCGAUGUCCGAUUAGCUAGUUGGCGGGGUAAAGGCCCACCAAGGCGAUGAUCGGUAGCUGGUCUGAGAGGAUGAUCAGCCACACUGGGACUGAGACACGGCCCAGACUCCUACGGGAGGCAGCAGUGGGGAAUUUUGGACAAUGGGGGAAACCCUGAUCCAGCCAUUCCGCGUGAGUGAAGAAGGCCUUCGGGUUGUAAAGCUCUUUUGUCCGGAGCGAAACGGAUGACGUGAAUAUCGUCGUCUACUGACGGUACCGGAAGAAUAAGCACCGGCUAACUACGUGCCAGCAGCCGCGGUAAUAACCUAAAUAGC
rnacentral:rRNA from 1 species